rnacentral:rRNA from 1 species
GUUCGAUUAUGGCUCAGAUUGAACGCUGGCGGGAUGCUUUUACACAUGCAAGUCGAACGGCAGCACGGACUUCGGUCUGGUGGCGAGUGGCGAACGGGUGAGUAAUGUAUCGGAACGUGCCUAGUAGCGGGGGAUAACUACGCGAAAGCGUAACUAAUACAUACGCCCUUCGAGAAAGCGGGGGACCUUCGGGCCUCGCCACUGACCGACGGCCGAUAUCGGAUUAGCUGAAAAAGUUGGUGGGGUAACGGCUCGCAAGGCGACGAUCCGUAGCUGGUUUGAAGGACGACCAGCCACACUGGGACUGAGACACGGCCCAGACUCCACUACGGGAAGGCAGCAGUGGGAAUUUUGGACAAUGAGGAAACCUGAUCCAGCCAUCCCGCGUGUGCGAUAGGGCCUUCGGGUUGUAAAGCACUUUUGGCAGGAAAAGAAGCAGCGCAGGAUGUACACGUGCAACUGACGGUACCUGCCAAAUAAGCACCGGCUAACUACGUGCCAACAGCCGCGGUAAUACGCUGAGUGCAAGCAUUAAUCGGAAUUACUGGGCGUAAAGCGUGCGCAGGCGGUUCAGGAAGAAAGAUGCUUGAAAUCCCAGAGCUUAACACUGAACUGCAUUUUAACUACCGAGCUGAAGUGUGUCAGAGGGAGGUGGAAUUCCGCGUGUAGCAGUGAAAUGCGUAGAUAUGCGGAGGAACACCGAUGGCGAAGGCAGCCUCCUGGGAUAACACUGACGCUCAUGCACGAAAAGCGUGGGAGCAAACAGGAUUAGAUACCCUGAUGAUCCCGCCUAAACGUCAACUAGCUGUUGGGGCCUUCGGGCCUUGGUAGCGCAGCUAACGCGUGAAGUUGACCGCCUGGGAGUACGGUCGCAAGAUUGAAACUCAAAGGAAUUGACGGGGACCCGCACAAGCGAUUGGAUGAUGUGGAUUAAUUCGAUGCAACGCGAAAAACCUUACCUACCUUGACAUGUCUGGAAUCCCGAAGAGAUUUGGGAGUGCUCAUCAAGAGAACCGGAACACAGGUGCUGCAUAUGGCUGUCGUCAGCUCGUGUCGUGAGAUGUUGAAAGGUUAAGUCCCGCAACGAGCGCAACCCUUGUCAUUAGUUGCUACGAAGGAACGCUAAUGAGACUGCCGGUGAUAAACCGGAGGAAGGUGGGGAUGACGUCAGAGUCUUAUAAGCCCUUAUGGGUAGGGCUUACGUCAUACAAUGGUCGGGACAGGGUCGCCAACCCGCGAGGGAGCCAAUCCCAGAAACCCGAUCAUGGUCCGGAUCGCAGUCUGCAACUCGACUGCGUGAAGUCGGAAUCGCUAGUAAUCGCGGAUCAGCAUGUCGCCCGUGGGAGUGAAUACGUUCCCGGGUCUUGUACACACCGCCCGUCACCACCAUGGGGGAGUGGGUUUUACCAGAGAGUAGUUAAGCCUAACCGUAAGGAGGGCGAUUACCGCGGCCAGAAGUUCAUGGCUGGGGUGAAGUCAUGCUGUCAGGUAG